GAGAUGUUAGUAAACCAAUUACAUGUACUUGUCAAGUCCAAAUCAUAGGUGAAAAUCCUAUACAUCUCA
rnacentral:tRNA from 1 species